UGAGUACAAUCUAAAUCCCUUA
rnacentral:siRNA from 1 species